rnacentral:lncRNA from 10 species
GUGUUGCAGCCCUGUGGGAACAACUCAGCUGGCCACCUGAAGCCCUGAUGCUCUGGCUUGCACUAUUACUGGGGUAACUGGACCCCUGGGGACACAGGAGCACUAGGGCAAGGGCCUCCCUCCCCAUUCGGCUACAGUCCGCUUUAGAGGCCUGAAAAUCCUGCCCCUGGGUUUGGAGGGCUGUCUCUGGCUGCUUGAACUGGACCUGAUGUAGGGCUUCCAGAGACAAUUGUCCCUGUUUCCAGUUUCCAGAUUAGAACUUCGCCUGUCCUGCAAGUCUGACCUGAGUCUGAGCUGGGCCUGCCUUCAGCUUUCUCCCUAUUCUCUGGAUGCCUUAUGUGACCUUCUCUUGGGGCAUGGAUCAGGCAGCCCUGCAUAAAAGCAUGGUCCCAAAUCUUGACUUCUCCACUCACAAGCUGGCUGAUCUGAGGUUCCUCUGCUUGAUGGUUCUAUGUGCAAUACAUUUCUCCCUUCACACCUUAGGCACUGAUGGUGCAUGACAAACCGUGGUGAUGGUUCUCCACUGAGAAAAGAUGAUAAAGUCUCUUAGAAGCAAUACUCUUCUUACCGUAAGUAUCUAAUCCACUUCCAGUGGCCAUCAGAGCAAAUGGAGGACA